UACGGGGGGGGCAAGCGUUGUUCGGAAUUACUGGGCGUAAAGGGCUCGUAGGCGGCCGGCUAAGUCCGACGUGAAAUCCCCAGGCUUAACCUGGGAACUGCGUCGGAUACUGGCAGGCUUGAAUCCGGGAGAGGGAUGCGGAAUUCCAGGUGUAGCGGUGAAAUGCGUAGAUAUCUGGAGGAACACCGGUGGCGAAGGCGGGUCUCUGGGCCGAUUCUGACGCUGAGGAGCGAAAGCGUGGGGAGCGAACAGG
rnacentral:rRNA from 1 species